rnacentral:lncRNA from 1 species
GGCAGGAUUAUCAAGAAAGACACACAGAAAAUGUUUCCCUUUUCAGUGUAGCCCUGAAGUAUUUUGAUGAAUAAUGAGUUAGUCUUCUCGGGAAUACAUCAUUAGGUUCCAGAAAAAAAAAAAUCGUUUUCUACAGGAUGGGGAAAAGCAUAUAGCAUAAUUUUGCAAACUGCUGGAGUAAACAACAUUUAUGUGCUUCUUAAAAGCAACUGAGGCAUGAGCAAGGUCACAAACCAGAAGGACCACAGAUACAGGAUUUACUCCUCUUUACCUUUGUGUGUGAUCUGAAACCCAGGAAUAUCACCUGGCCCAGGAGAAGAACUAGGCUGCUCUACAGAAUAAUUACAGCAGUUCCAGUUGUUUCAUUUAUCUUACCAUCAAAACAAUGUGGUGCACACAAGAGGUGAUGGGGAGCAAAGGAAUAGCGGAUAGCGGAAACCUCGCAAAAUCAUCAGAUAAGCAUUUCAAAUGAAGACAAUAGUUCAGUCAGUUCUACCAGCUCUUACCUGAGAUAGGAAAAUUUCUCCUUUUUUUCGUCAUUCUUCCGAGAUCUACAC